UAAAAGCAAGGAGAAGGAGAAAGAGAAAGAAGAAGGAGAGCAAGGGUUUCCUACAGAGUAAGGAGUAGAGCCAAGAAGUGACGAGACAAUGUGGUACGAGGCCAUCGGCUGUCUAUCAUCACCUAGGACUCGAGGUGAGGGGAUUUGUGUGAUUAUUUUUAUGGAAUGUUUAUGUCAUGUUACAUAUGCGGAUGAUCAUAUCAUUUUACGUAUUACAAUCUUGUGUGUUGUGGAGAAUGUUGAUGUUACAUAAUGGUAUAAUUGUGUUGUGUAUGUGUAUGAAUGUGGCUGGGAUGCAAGGUGGCCAAAGGUUGGGUUCCGGCAUGGUAUGCCCAGGGUGAGUGUGUGUGUGAGUGUAUUAUGGAGAUUGGGGUGCAGGGUGUCCGAAGGUUGGUUCUGGCAUUGUAUUCCCAUGGUGUGUGUGUCGGGUACAAGGUAGCUGAAGGUUGGGUUCUGGCAUUGUAAGCCCACGGGGUGUGUGAGUUUGUUUGUGAAGUGAUAUGAAUCAUGCUAGGUUGCAUUAGGUCAGGAAAAAUUACCCUGAUGCUACAACCCUUGCCAAUAGGGGGUUUACGUAUUGGCUAAUCCUACCAUCUGAUGGUCCGAGGUUGGGGACGAUUUCUAGUGACUGAGGUGGUGGGGAUGCCAGCUUCGUGAUAAACCCUGACGCGAUGUUUGAUUCUAUGAGGUGGUAUAUAUAUAAGGGAUUAUUAAUAGAGUUUGACGGGUAACGAUGUGGUUCCGGAGCUGGCACACUUCUGACUCACAACUAGCUCUUAUCCUUAGGGAUAGAUAACGGACAUUCGUGACUCGGGAUACCACCUAUGUUAUAGUAGCACUAAUACCCAUUAUAGACUUAGAAUCUGUUGAUUGGGUUUGAUUGUUAAUAAUCUGGAUCAUGUCAUUGUAUUCAUCUAAAUGCAUUCAUAUUGGUUUGGUUGGGCAUUUAUAUUGUUUUUAUUUCAUGAAUUAUUGUGAAUGUUUGCGUGUACCCCUCACUGGGCUUCAUGGAAGCUCCCCCCAGUUUUGCCCCCUUUUUAGAUGUUGAUUCAGGUAACUAUUUGGAGUCUGUGGUUGAGGAGUCAGCUCUCUACGGAGGUGAUCUCUAGGACGAGGACCUAACACGCACGAGGACGGUGGCGUAUGUGACGACUAUGCAUUCGGAGCAUGCUGAGGAUGAGAGUAUCAUCUUCUAUUUUUUAUUUCUUUUUGUACUUAUCAUAUAUAUCCCUAGGGGCAUAACUGAAAUUACGAUUCCGCUGUGAAAACUCUUUUGGUAAAUAUGAUAAAUAUUAUUAGACA